CCCUGUGGAAGGCUCACCAGCUCAUAGUUCUUCCUGCAGUUGUGGCCCCUCCAGUGCCUCUGGAUCAGCGUGGCAGCAUUCUUCAGCUUCAGGAAGUUGGACCUGAAACAGCAGCAGUGACACAAACAAAGAAACUGAGACUUGAUGAGGUUGGACUGGAGCCUCUUCUGACUGACCCUGAGUUAGCCAAGUGCUGUUUCCCCUGCACACAGUAGGCUGCUUCAAUAGAAUAGUCAUCUCCAACCUCAUGGAGGACAGAGAGGAGUCUGCUGGAUACAGAAAUAAAGGAGGAGAGAAAGAUGGACGUGUCAUUGUGUAGGUAUACAUAUGUCCCUUACACAGAAUAUGAGACAUGCUCAGUAAUUUAUAAAACCUCAGAUUUCCUCUUUUGGAAAUUUCCUGUCCGUGGGUGUAUCUCGUGUAGCCGCAUGUGUGCAUGUAG